rnacentral:lncRNA from 1 species
UGUCCGUUCCCGGAGCCACACGUCCCGAUUUAACAAUAACAAAUCCACGUUGCGUUUGACACGCGAGCCUGAGGCGUGGUGAGAUGCCAUGUGGCAGCCGCGGGAAAUCUUGACUGGCCGCUGACUCCAUCGGCCGGCCGGCCGGCGAGUGAGCGAGCGAGCGAGUGGCCGAGUGGAGGCCGGCAAAUCUCCAGCUAGCACGGGUUCGCGUGGACGGCCGGGGAAAGACAGCGGGAAAGCAGCCGGGCGCCCGCGUCCUCGGCACGACAGGCGCGCCGGCCCGUCGACGUGGAGCCAACGCCGUCCGGAGCCUUCCCCCUAUCCCCCGGCCCGACGCCCCAGAGAAAAGCGACGGCCGCGUCUCCCUCCCCCCGCGUGCGCGGGCGACCUUUGCCUUUGCCUCUACAGGCCCGCGCGUGGCCGAGGCGGCCGUGACGGCGCGGCGCCGCAAUCGGGAUCGGGACAGUUUCCCGUGGCGCGGGCGCACGUUGCGUGACGC